rnacentral:lncRNA from 1 species
CAAUUUUAUUAUGGAAAGUAGUGGUCUCGUAAUGUCUUUAAGUGUUUACUUUAUCUGCUUUUUUGAAUUCCAUUCUAUUUCUGCAGAAAAUCCUUCAAGCCUAUGAUUACAAAUAUUUUGGCUGGAUUAUCAUGGCAGCCUUUUCUGGUUUGGAAAUACCUGAUUGUGGGAAACUCUGAAUCACUAUUUUGGGUGCUGAAGAAAAGGUAAAAACUUCUGUUUUGCCUUUCAUGCUGCCAUAUAUCCUGAAAUUUUGUGUCAUAGAAAUGCCCAUAUCUCAUGUGACCCUAUAAGACCCUGAUACAUUCUGAUUUUACUGUCUCAUGAAUUAUCAAUAGUUGGUCCUGGACUGCAGAGAAGGAGCUGGAGAAAGGAUAUGCACCUGAGCCUGGAAUAAGUUCACUCUUAGAUGUCAGGAUCCAUACUGUCACAGAACCAGCUAAACACCAAAAUUCAGACCAUGGGUGCUAUACAACACAAUCAGCAACAUCUAAUGAGUGAAUGUACUCACCUGGUUUAUCAACAGCAGCAGCAGUCAGAACAUUGCUUCCCAUUCCUGUCCACCUGAACACUGUGAUUUCAUUUGUUCCCAUUUGUCUCUGACUGCCAUCACAUACACUGACUGACUUUUCCAGAACCAAUUCAUUUGCCUUGUUUUUUUCUGCAUUAUGCAUCUUCCCUUCUGAGAACUGGAAUCUUGUCUUACAAUUUGCUUACAUUAUUGUGAUACCUUUUGGUUCUUCCAGAUUUCUAGUUAAAAUACUUAAUUCACAGUAUCACAGUAUCACAGUCUCGUGCGGGUUUGGAAGGGACCUUAGAGACCAUUGAGUCCAAGCCCCGGGAUUCGAGCCACCUGUGUAGCAUUUUUUUUCCAGCUGAAACUCCCAGAGAUCUGUAUGGUGUUCAGUCUUACUUCAGUCCUUCCUGAAAAGAUGAUGGAACAAACAGUUCUGAAAAACAGUUUCAGUCACAUGAAGGACAAGAAAGUGAUUGAGAUUUGUCAGUAUGUGUUCACCAAGCUGUAGUCAUGCUUGACCAACCUGAUAAUGUUCUAUGAUUAAAUGAGUGCAGAGUAGUAUAUGAAUAUAUUCUGCUCUUUGCAGCAGAAGCAGGACAGAAGGUACUGGGUCCAAACUGAAAGAUGAGAGGUUACAUUUGAAUGACUGGAAGCACUUCUUUACACUGAACAGCACUGGAACAGGUUGCACUACAAAGUUGUGUAGUCUUCCUCCUUGGAAAUAUUCAAAACUGUCUGGACAUGAUUCAUGACAACUGGUUCUAUGUUGUCCUGC